rnacentral:lncRNA from 1 species
CAGAGAAACAAGGAUCUCGUGUGCAUCCUUCUCCAGAGCAUCAGAAUCAAACAUGUUCCACCUUGGGCAUCUUAUUGUCUUAUGCAGCUUGCUCGUUGGGACCUNAAGAUCACUUUCUGAUACUAUUGACAGUGUCCUGAAUAACUGGGACUUUCUGGAACCUCUCCUUGCAAAUUUUCCCAUUUUUAACCUUGUCCUCCCAACUAUGGAUGGACUUUCUAAAUCUCGCAGGAGCACCUCCUUAAGAUCAACAGACCCUCAAGUCAACACUGACACAGAUACCCUUCAAAACCGGAGCCUGACUAUGGGGUCACUUCAGGAGACCACAGCUUGGUCCUUAGCCAAGGACAGGAUUCUAGAAGGUUUGAAAAUACAGGAUUUGGGUACAUCAACCCCAAAUUUAGGGUGAGUUGGUACUUAUUUACUCUCAGAACAGGGACUACCCCUCUGAGGAAGCCAAUUCAAUGUCAGGAAUAGAUGGAUAAGCCUCUCAUUCACCACAGAGAUGAAGAGUUCUGAGACAAGGUUCGUUAGAACUUAACUAAGUCUGAGGCUGGGGUACAGGGCCAGUGGGAAUAGUUCAUACAUCUGGAUUCUGAGGUUGCAAAUCAAGGAACCCAGAAUUUUGGAACCGAAACUUGACCUGUCUUCCAGUGGUGAUGACAUUACCCUAAGGGUGAAUGUGGUUGUGAAUGUAUCUGUAAGGGUGCUGUAAGUUAAGUUAUUUGGACUUAUGGGGUCAGGUGCAAUAUGGCCAGUAUUGGGUAGUCUCUUAAUUUCCAGUAACUACCUGACUUCUCCCCUCAGUUUCUUAAUAUGUAAAUGAG